rnacentral:rRNA from 1 species
GAGUUUGAUCCUGGCUCAGGGACGAACGCUGGCGGCGUGGAUUAGGCAUGCAAGUCGCGCGACGGGCGAGCAAUCGCUACGGAGCGGCGAACGGGUGAGUAACACGUGAACAAUCUGUCCUCACGUUCCGAAUAAUUGGGAGAAAUCCCUUGUAAUGCGGGCGAGGGUCACCAAGAGGCAUCUCUUGGUGCAGGAACGUCCAGGAAUUUAUUCCUGGGCGGCGCGAGGAGGAGUUCGCGGCCUAUCAGUUAGUUGGUGGGGUAACGGCCUACCAAGACGACGACGGGUAGCUGGUCUGAGAGGAUGGUCAGCCACAUUGGAACUGAGACACUGUCCAGACUCCUACGGGAGGCUGCAGUCGAGAAUCUUGGGCAAUGCACGAAAGUGUGACCCAGCGACGCCGCGUGGAGGACGAAGGUGCUCUGCACUGUAAACUCCUUUUAUCGGAGAAGAAUGAGGCGCAAGCCUUUUGACGGUAUCCGAUGAAUAAGCCACGGCUAACUACGUGCCAGCAGCCGCGGUAAUACGUAGGUGGCAAGCGUUGUCCGGAUUUACUGGGCGUAAAGCGUAUGCAGGCGGACUUUUAAGUAGGAAGUGAAAGGUGGGUGCUCAACACUCACACUGCUCCCUAUACUGGAGGUCUUGAGUGGCGGAGAGGACAGGGGAACGACACGUGUAGCGGUGAAAUGCGUUGAGAUGUGUCGGGACACCAAUGGCGAAAGCACCUGUCUGGACGCAAACUGACGCUGAGAUACGAAAGCCAAGGGAGCAAACAGGAUUAGAUACCCUGGUAGUCUUGGCCAUAAACGAUGAUCACUANGUGUUGGGGGUUUNCCUCGGUGCCGCANCUAACGCAUUAAGUGAUCCNCCUGGGACUACGGCCNCANGUUGAACUCAAGGAAUGGCGGGGCCCCCCAACNGUGANCAUAUGGCUAAUNCAUGCACNCNAAANCUUACAGGNNUGAAUGUUNNCAGCCCCCAAAUGNCNCUUCANGUGAACNANGUGNGCAUGCUUCCCCCUCNGUUGAANGUGGUUAAUCCCACANCCACCCUAGGUU